rnacentral:rRNA from 1 species
GACAGAGGGGGCAAGCGUUGCUCGGAAUUACUGGGCGUAAAGGGCGCGUAGGCGGGAUGGCAAGUCGGUCGUGAAAGACCUCGGCUCAACUGAGGAGUGUCGAUCGAUACUGCCGUUCUUGAGGAUUGCAGAGGAGACUGGAAUUCCCGGUGUAGCGGUGAAAUGUGUUGAUAUCGGAAGGAACGCCGGUGGCGAAAGCGACACACUGGGUCUCAACUGACGCUGAGGCACGAAAGCCAGGGGAGCGAACGGG